AAACCCAAAGCGACGCCCGUCUUCUUGCGGUCCAUACUCAUCUCUCCUCCGCCUCCUCCUCCCUUCAGGGUUUCUUCUCUCCUCGGGAAUCGCUGGGAGCUGCGCUCUUCGUUCUCUUCUUGUCGAUCCGUGGUCGAGGAUCUCUUGAUGGAAAAUGAGCCGCGAGAUUCGUCAUUUUAAGUUGCUUUGGGAGCGAUCCUGUUAGUAGAGGAUACGACCUUAUUCUUUUCUUGAGGUUGGAAGAUGCCAGCUACACAUAUCUCAAGCAACAAACUACUUCGAUUCUCCGUAGAACUUCUUUUCCGAGAAGGCCAGACGGGCUUGUUUCAGUCACAUUCAUUCUCCAGUCUUGUUGACAGCGUUCAAACCUUUCCAAUUAUCGAUCGCUAUACAUCAUCACAGUCUAUUGUUGGAAAACUGUCCCAAUUGGUUCCUUUUCCUUCUUUGGCUGGUUCAUCUUGUCAAUCGCGUAUACAUAACAUUGGUAGCCUGGUUUCCGUGUUCCCUCAAAGGUCAUUUAUCCAUUUUGAGAGGGAUGUGACAUCCACUUGCACUUCUUUACCUGGUGGAGCUACAUGGGCUGUCCGCCACGAUAGUCGGGAUACACGUGGUUCUUUCUUGAGAGCUGAUGCUUUUUUCCCCAAUAGAAGUCUCGAUUACUGGAAAAGAGUAUGCAAGACUCUGAGAUGUAAAGAAGUUUUGGGCUCUUAUUUGGUUUACAAGCAGUUCUUGUCCGAGACAAUUGGGAAAAGCUUGUCUUGUAAUUUUUUUGCACAGGGUGGGAUUGAGUUAUUUUCAUUAUUCUUCACAUCAUGUACUACUGGAGCAGCUCCUGUCCUGUCUCUUGAUCAGUCUCUACGUGAAGAGCAACUUGAUAAUCCUUCAUCUGAGUCUGACCAGAAAAAGCCAAGUAACAGAGCAUUGAAACUACUUUCUGGAUCGUGUUAUUUGCCGCACCCAGAUAAGGAGGAAACUGGUGGUGAGGAUGCUCAUUUUAUAUGGGACGAGCAGGCCAUUGGUGUAGCAGAUGGUGUUGGUGGGUGGGCCAAUCAUGGGGUUGAUGCAGGCCAAUAUUCUAGAGCACUUAUGUCACAUUCAGUAGAUGCAAUUGAAGAAGAAUCCAAAGGGUCCAUUGAUCCAUUAAGGGUGUUAGAGAAAGCUUAUACAAGAACCAAAGCUGAAGGAUCUUCAACAGCUUGCAUUAUUGCUCUCACAGAUCAGGGCAUUCGUGCUGUCAAUCUUGGUGACAGUGGUUUCAUAGUUGUUAGAGAUGGAUGCACUAUCUUCCGGUCACCGGUGCAGCAACAUGAUUUUAAUUUCACUUAUCAACUUGAGAGCAACAAUGCAAGUGAUCUACCUAGUGCUGCCCAGGUAUUCAGCUUCCCAGUGGAAUCAGGUGAUGUGAUCAUUGCAGGAACAGAUGGACUCUUUGAUAACUUGUACAACAGUGAGAUCACAGCUGUUGUGGUUCACGGCAUUAGGGCUGGUCUGGGACCUCAAGUGAUGGCUCAGAAGAUAGCUGCAUUAGCUCGCCAACGAGCGCAGGACAAGAACAGGCAAACCCCGUUCUCGGCUGCUGCCCAAGAAGCUGGCUAUAGAUAUUACGGAGGCAAGCUUGACGACAUAACUGUCGUCGUAUCCUACAUCACUGCCUUUGGCAACCAGGCCCCAUCGUGUCUUUGUACAUAACACACACUAUUAUGACAAGGUUGAUCAAGGCUCGUGGAUUCUACAUCAUGUUGCUCUGCUUCUGGUCAUUUGCUGCUGAGUUAUCAUGUCGAAUCAACCCAUUUUUCUGCACCAAGUUGUAAGAUGUGAGAGGAGACAAGGAGGACGGCGAACGGUACUCAAACAAGGCCGUGGGAAGCAGGAACUGUCCUGAUCAGCAUCGACAAGUAUCGAGGGUGAAUCAGAUGGUGGAUAUGUUAAUAUAGAUGCAUAGUGUAAAUAAAUAAAUAAUUUAACGUUGUUUUCUAGUUAAUCUCACUUUUUGUUUUUCCGUAAUCUCGAUUAAAAGAACCUUCAUGUCAUGGCAGGGCCAUUAUUUUGUGUUACCGGAGUGAAACUAUUGGUUCCAUUCAGCUUUUGCUAGGGAACAACAAUCCAUAUUUUUGGCUAA